rnacentral:rRNA from 1 species
UCCGUAGGUGAACCUGCGGAGGGAUCAUUAGCGAGUUCUAAACUCCCAACCCUCGUGGACAUACCUAUCGUUGCUUCGGCGGGGCGCCCUAACUUGGGGCGCGGCCCCCACUGGGGGCACCCGCCGAAGGCACGCAAACCGAACCCUGCCUUCUGGAGAAUUCUGAGUAAACUACAAAUAAGUUAAAACUUUCAGCAACGGAUCUCUUGGUUCUGGCAUCGAUGAAGAACGCAGCGAAAUGCGAUAAGUAAUGUGAAUUGCAGAAUUCAGUGAAUCAUCGAAUCUUUGAACGCACAUUGCGCCCGCUAGCAUUCUGGCGGGCAUGCUUGUUCGAGCGUCCUCAAAAACCCUCGGGCCCUGGAGACUUGUCUUCGGCGGCCCGGUGUUGGGAUGCCGCGGCUGCCGCGGCUCCUUAAAACCAGCGGCGGACCUCCCUGUGGCCCUGGCGUAGUAAUCAAUCCUCGCCUUCGGCUUCCGGGAACGCCCUGCCCCGAGAACCCAUCUCAACCAUUUGGACCUCGAAUCAAGUAGGAAUACCCGCUGAACUUAAGCAUAUCAAUAAG